rnacentral:sRNA from 12 species
ACUGUGGACUGCACAAAAAAUAUGAGUAGCUCAGGCAAAAGUAUGCAGGAUGAAACAGUAA